rnacentral:rRNA from 1 species
UACGUAGGGUGCGAGCAUUAAUCGGAAUUACUGGGCGUAAAGCGUGCGCAGGCGGCUUUGCAAGACAGAUGUGAAAUCCCCGGGCUUAACCUGGGAACUGCAUUUGUGACUGCAUGGCUGGAGUGCGGCAGAGGGGGAUGGAAUUCCGCGUGUAGCAGUGAAAUGCGUAGAUAUGCGGAGGAACACCGAUGGCGAAGGCAAUCCCCUGGGCCUGCACUGACGCUCAUGCACGAAAGCGUGGGGAGCAAACAGG